rnacentral:rRNA from 1 species
AGGGCACCACCAGGAGUGGAGCCUGCGGCUUAAUUUGACUCAACACGGGGAAACUCACCCGGCCAGGACACAAUAAGGAUUGACAGAUUGAUAGCUCUUGCUUGAUUUUGUGGGUGGUGGUGCAUGGCCGUUCUUAGUUGGUGGAGCGAUUUGUCUGGUUAAUUCCGAUAACGAACGAGACUCUAGCCUAUUAAAUAGACGAUAUAUUAUUAGUUUAUCGAGCUUCUUAGAGGGACAGGCAGCUUCUAGCUGCACGAGAUUGAGCAAUAACAGGUCUGUGAUGCCCUUAGAUGUCCGGGGCUGCACGCGCGCUACAAUGAUAAUAGCAGCGUGCAUUAAAACCUUUUCUGGUAAGAAUUGGUAAACACGAAAUAUUGUCGUGCUUGGGAUAGGGGAUUGAAAUUAUUGCCCUUAAACGAGGAAUUCCCAGUAAGUGCGAGUCAUUAGCUUGCGUUGAUUACGUCCCUGCCCUUUGUACACACCGCCCGUCGCUACUACCGAUUGGAAGAUUUAGUGAAU